GACUAUUUAGUCAGUAACAAUGACUGUUCGAUCACAGGAUCUCAUAUGGGCAAGGUGCCUAACUCUAGGCUAAAAACAGACUCAUAUUUGAAGAGAUAUAUAUUGAGAUAUAUCUUUUAAACCCAUGAAAGUCCCAAAUUAUAACAGUCCAGUGCUAAAUACUACUUGCAGCUCAGUUACACAAAUUCGAACAUAAGUAAUAAAAAUAAAACACGACAACUUAGCAUCUAUAUCUAAAGCUUUGUUACAAAGCAUGGAUAUAGUACAGAGAACAAGGGCAUCGGCUUAAAAUGCAGCUUUCAUUUCAAUGGACUUUCACCCCUAUUAUAUGAUCAAUAAUCACUUCUCAACCAUAGUUAGGAAAGUACCUGGCAAAUGUAAAGAUGAAGAAGGGUAAGCAAUCAACCAAUGCAGCAAAAACCAGUAGAUAAAUAGCCAAGGUGAACUCAGAUUCAGCAAAUGAAAACAAGGAAACUCAGCUCAAAAAAAGAAACCUAGAAAUUGUAAUACGCAACCAGCUUGAACCCUAAAAACUUCCAAAAAUAAAACCAAUAUCAAUGCACACUAACCCUCGAAUGAACCAGAAAUUAGUUCCUAACUUGAAAAUCCCAG
rnacentral:lncRNA from 1 species